ensembl:ncRNA T06D10.6 ncRNA
GAGAGUACAUUCUCUACGUCAUUGAGUGUCAGAUUCAGAUGACUGGAUCUGGAAUUUUUUCUGAUUUUUUUUCGCUUUCUCAAGAUUUGCAUUUAAAAAUUGAGUGGGAAUAGUCAAAGAAUAAUAGUUUAAGAACGAAAU